rnacentral:rRNA from 8 species
AGGGAAACCGAGUCUUAAUUGGGCGUUAAGUUGCAGGGUAUAGACCCGAAACCCGGUGAUCUAGCCAUGGGCAGGUUGAAGGUUGGGUAACACUAACUGGAGGACCGAACCGACUAAUGUUGAAAAAUUAGCGGAUGACCUGUGGCUGGGGGUGAAAGGCCAAUCAAACCGGGAGAUAGCUGGUUCUCCCCGAAAGCUAUUUAGGUAGCGCCUCGUGAAUUCAUCUCCGGGGGUAGAGCACUGUUUCGGCUAGGGGGCCAUCCCGGCUUACCAACCCGAUGCAAACUGCGAAUACCGGAGAAUGUUAUCACGGGAGACACACGGCGGGUGCUAACGUCCGUCGUGAAGAGGGAAACAACCCAGACCGCCAGCUAAGGUCCCAAAGUCAUGGUUAAGUGGGAAACGAUGUGGGAAGGCCCAGACAGCCAGGAUGUUGGCUUAGAAGCAGCCAUCAUUUAAAGAAAGCGUAAUAGCUCACUGGUCGAGUCGGCCUGCGCGGAAGAUGUAACGGGGCUAAACCAUGCACCGAAGCUGCGGCAGCGA